rnacentral:rRNA from 1 species
UACGGGGGGGGCAAGCGUUGUUCGGAAUUACUGGGCGUAAAGGGCUCGUAGGCGGCCAACUAAGUCGGAUGUGAAAUCCCCAGGCUCAACUUGGGAACUGCAUCCGAUACUGGACGGCUUGAAUUCGGGAGAGGGAUGCAGAAUUCCAGGUGUAGCGGUGAAAUGCGUAGAUAUCUGGAGGAAUACCGGUGGCGAAGGCGGCAUCCUGGACCGACAUUGACGCUGAGGAGCGAAAGCUAGGGGAGCAAACGGG